rnacentral:rRNA from 1 species
GACAGAGGGUGCAAACGUUGUUCGGAAUUACUGGGCGUAAAGCGUGUGUAGGCGGCUAAGAAAGUCGGAUGUGAAAGCCCUUGGCUCAACUGAGGAAGUGCAUCCGAAACUGGCAAGCUAGAGUACUAAAGAGGGUCGCGGAAUUCCCGGUGUAGAGGUGAAAUUCGUAGAUAUCAGGAGGAACACCUGUGGCGAAAGCGGCUCACUGGACCACAACUGACGCUGAUGCGCGAAAGCUAGGGGAGCAAACAGG